rnacentral:rRNA from 1 species
GAUGAACGCUAGCUACAGGCUUAACACAUGCAAGUCGAGGGGAAACGACAUCGAAAGCUUGCUUUUGUUGGGCGUCGACCGGCGCACGUGAGAGUAACGCGUAUCCAACCUGCCCAUCACUUGGGAAUAACCUUGCGAAACUAAGACUAAUACCUAAUGACAUCCGCCUAAGACAUCUGAAUGGGAUGAAAUUUUUAUCGGUUAUGGAUGGGGAUGCGUCUGAUUAGCUUGUUGGCAGGGUAACGGCCCACCAAGGCAACGAUCAGUAGGGGUUCUGAGAGGAAGGUCCCCCACAUUGGAACUGAGGCACGGUCCACACUGCUACGGGGGGGAGCAGUGAGGAAUAUUGGUCAAUGGACGAGAGCCUGAACCAGCCGAGUGGGGUGCAAGAUGACGGGCCUAUGGGUUGUAAACUGCUUUUAAAAGAGAAAAGAGUGGGUAACGUGAGACUUUUUGCAUGUACCUUAUGAAUAAGAACCGGCUAAUUCCGUG